rnacentral:rRNA from 1 species
GUAGGUGGCAAGCGUUGUCCGGAAUUAUUGGGCGUAAAGCGCGCGCAGGCGGUUCUUUAAGUCUGAUGUGAAAGCCCACGGCUCAACCGUGGAGGGUCAUUGGAAACUGGAGAACUUGAGUACAGAAGAGGAAAGCGGAAUUCCACGUGUAGCGGUGAAAUGCGUAGAGAUGUGGAGGAACACCAGUGGCGAAGGCGGCUUUCUGGUCUGUAACUGACGCUGAGGCGCGAAAGCGUGGGGAGCAAACAGGAUUAGAUACCCUGGUAGUCCACGCCGUAAACGAUGAGUGCUAAGUGUUAGGGGGGUUUCCGCCCCCCUUAGUGCUGCAGCUAACGCUUUAAGCACUCCGCCUGGGGAUACGGCCGCAAGGCUG